rnacentral:tRNA from 1 species
GAGGCGUUAACUUAAAUUAAAGUGUUAGACUUUUAAUCUAAAAAUGGUUUUCCACGUUUUA